rnacentral:rRNA from 1 species
UUCGCAAUGCCCGAAAGGGUGACGAAGCGACGCCGCGUGCGGGAAGAAGGCCUUCGGGUUGUAAACCGCUGUCGGGAGUUAGGAAAUGCAAGGAUGUUAAUAGCAUCUUUGCUUGACUAAGGCUCCGGAGGAAGCCACGGCUAACUCUGUGCCAGCAGCCGCGGUAAUACAGAGGCGGCAAGCGUUGUUCGGAAUUAUUGGGCGUAAAGAGCACGUAGGCGGCCGUGUAAGUCGGUUGUGAAAGCCUUCUGUUCAAAGGAAGAACGGCAUCUGAAACUGCAGAUCUUGAGUGUAGGAGGGGAGAGUGGAACUUCUGGUGGAGCGGUGAAAUGCGUAGAUAUCAGAAGGAACGUCGGCGGCGAAAGCGACUCUCUGGCCUAUUACUGACACUGAGGUGCGAAAGCUAGGGGAGCAAACGGGAUUAGAUACCCCGGUAGUCCUAGCCGUAAACGAUGGGCACUAAGUAGAGGGGUUUU